rnacentral:rRNA from 1 species
UACGAAGGGGGCUAGCGUUGUUCGGAAUUACUGGGCGUAAAGCGCGUGUAGGCGGGCGAAUAAGUCAGGGGUGAAAUGCCAAGGCUCAACCUUGGAACUGCCUUUGAUACUGUUCGUCUUGAGUCCGGGAGAGGUGAGUGGAACUGCGAGUGUAGAGGUGAAAUUCGUAGAUAUUCGGAGGAACACCAGUGGCGAAGGCGGCUCACUGGUCCGGUACUGACGCUGAGGUGCGAAAGCGUGGGGAGCAAACAGG